rnacentral:rRNA from 2 species
UUAAGCAUAUCAAUAAGCGGAGGAAAAGAAACCAACAGGGAUUGCCCUAGUAACGGCGAGUGAAGCGGCAACAGCUCAAAUUUGAAAUCUGGCGCAAGCCCGAGUUGUAAUUUGUAGAGGAUGCUUCUGGGUAGCGGCCGGUCUAAGUUCCUUGGAACAGGACGUCAUAGAGGGUGAGAAUCCCGUAUGUGACUGGCUUGCACCCUCCACGUAGCUCCUUCGACGAGUCGAGUUGUUUGGGAAUGCAGCUCUAAAUGGGAGGUAAAUUUCUUCUAAAGCUAAAUACCGGCCAGAGACCGAUAGCGCACAAGUAGAGUGAUCGAAAGAUGAAAAGCACUUUGGAAAGAGAGUUAAAAAGCACGUGAAAUUGUUGAAAGGGAAGCGCCCGCAACCAGACUUUGCGGCAGUGUUCGGCCGGUCUUCUGACCGGUUUACUCGCUGUCGUGAGGCCAUCAUCGUCUGGGACCGCUGGAUAAGACCUUAGGAAUGUGGCUCCCUUCGGGGAGUGUUAUAGCCUCUGGUGAUGCAGCGCGUCUCGGGCGAGGUCCGCGCUUCGGCAAGGAUGAUGGCGUAAUGGUUGUCGGCGGCCCGUCUUGAAACACGGACCAAGGAGUCUAACAUCUAUGCGAGUGUUCGGGUGUCAAACCCCUACGCGUAAUGAAAGUGAACGGAGGUGGGAACUUUUUGUGCACCAUCGACCGAUCCUGAUGUCCUCGGAUGGAUUUGAGUAAGAGCAUAGCUGUUGGGACCCGAAAGAUGGUGAACUAUGCCUGAAUAGGGUGAAGCCAGAGGAAACUCUGGUGGAGGCUCGCAGCGGUUCUGACGUGCAAAUCGAUCGUCAAAUUUGGGUAUAGGGGCGAAAGACUAAUCGAACCAUCUAGUAGCUGGUUCCUGCCGA